UACGUAGGGUGCGAGCGUUGUCCGGAAUUAUUGGGCGUAAAGAGCUUGUAGGCGGUUUGUCGCGUCUGCUGUGAAAAUCCGGGGCUCAACCCCGGACUUGCAGUGGGUACGGGCAGACUAGAGUGUGGUAGGGGGGACUGGAAUUCCUGGUGUAGCGGUGAAAUGCGCAGAUAUCAGGAGGAACACCGAUGGCGAAGGCAGGUCUCUGGGCCGAUACUGACGCUGAGGAGCGAAAGCGUGGGGAGCGAACAGG
rnacentral:rRNA from 1 species